UACGUAGGAUGCAAGCGUUAUCCGGAUUUACUGGGCGUAAAGAGUUCGUAGGUUGUAUGAUAAGUCAGCUGUGAAAGACCAAGGCUCAACCUUGGGAACAUGGCUGAAACUAUUGUACUAGAGGAUACGAGAGGUGCACGGAAUUCUGGGUGUAGCGGUAAAAUGCUUAGAUAUCCAGAGGAACACCAAUGGCGAAGGCAGUGCACUGGCGUAUUCCUGACGCUGAGGAACGAAAGCGUGGGGAGCGAACGGG
rnacentral:rRNA from 1 species